UGGCUGCCCUUUACAGGAAAGCGGGUGCAUGACUGGCAAGGAAAAAGAAAAAAUUAACUGGCAAAAUAAAUACUGUGAAGAGGAAGGAGAUACAGCACAGAGGAAAAGUACUGUGAUAGAAAAGGGCAAUGGAUCAGCACAAGUUUGCUGCUGCUGCUGGCCCUGAGAGUAAGAGUCUGAACACGGAGCCCUUGCUGUGGGUAAAUGUGACCCGUUGGACACCGAGCCCUGAGCCAGCCCACCCCACAGCUGCUCAGAGAUGUAAUAAUGCACAUGAAAGAAAAAUCCUGCGGCCACGGUCCAUCCAGUGUUUGAGCAGAACCAUCCACCCUAUAUGCUGGUGCUAUGUGGUAUUAAAAAUGACUGAGGGCAGUACACGCCAGGUAAAAAAACCCAACGGUAUUCAGCAAAUAAAUCAAUCGAAGCAGUCUCUGUAUACUGUCAAACAGCACCAAUGCCGAGAUCUCAGCCUGCCUGCCCUCCAGAAUACAGAACGUGCAGCUUGUGGGAAUAGUAAAAGUUUAAGUCAGAUCCCAUCAGAAACGUGAGGGAAAGCAUCCUGUGAGAAUAAAGACCGUCUUCGCAGCCUUUACAAUGAUGUCUGAUCUCCAAGGGCACAUUCCGAUUGCACGGAGAGGGUUUCUACAGGCCUCUCUCUGGGAUUUGUCACCCAAUAGGAGGGGAUGGCUGAUGGGGAUGAUGGCAGAAUACAGGAUUUAGAAUUGGUUUGGAUCCAGCCCCAGUCAACACUGCCUAAAAUUGUUACUGUGUGAUGGCUAAACAAUUCCUGCUUGAAAGGAGAUAGGGGUUUCUGUCUGGUCUGGGUGCAUCCGCAGCUUGGGAAUGGCUGUCCUGGGGACAUGGAUCCACGAGAAAGGCGAAAGAAGGAGACAGCAUUGUCCCUUCAUCCCGCUCGUCUGCAACAGCCGCACGUGGGAAGUGAGACGGAAGAGACGCACUAUUGCGUUUCCGACGCCACUUGCUUCCUGAAUAAACAGAAAGAUCCUACCGUGAUAAAAGAAAAAUAUGCAUGUUAUUGAAAAAAGCCUUAGACUCAUCAAAACAGAAAAGUUAA